rnacentral:rRNA from 1 species
CAGUAGCCGCGGGAAUACGGAGGAUCCAAGCGUUAUCCGGAAUCAUUGGGUUUAAAGGGUCCGUAGGCGGUCUUGUAAGUCAGUGGUGAAAGCACAUCGCUCAACGGUGGAACGGCCAUUGAUACUGCAGGACUUGAAUUAUUGGGAAGUAACUAGAAUAUGUAGUGUAGCGGUGAAAUGCUUAGAGAUUACAUGGAAUACCAAUUGCGAAGGCAGGUUACUACCAAUUGAUUGACGCUGAUGGACGAAAGCGUGGGUAGCGAACAGGAUUAGAUACCCCCGUAGUCCCUGUCUCUUAUAU